UACGGGGGGGGCAAGCGUUGUUCGGAAUUACUGGGCGUAAAGGGUUCGUAGGUGGCUUGCUAAGUCAGACGUGAAAUCCCUCAGCUUAACUGGGGAACUGCGUCUGAGACUGGCAAGCUCGAGUGCAGGAGAGGAACGCGGAAUUCCAGGUGUAGCGGUGAAAUGCGUAGAUAUCUGGAGGAACACCGGUGGCGAAGGCGGCGUUCUGGACUGCAACUGACACUGAUGAGCGAAAGCCAGGGGAGCAAACGGG
rnacentral:rRNA from 1 species